AGACAAGACAAGACAACACCAUAGGCAAAGCCAGGGACAUGUACACCAAACGUUAUCCUCGGACAAGUCGGGGCGUUUACGUGUGUCAGGACAGGUGCCGCCCACCCAUGAUGCAUCACCCGCGACCGUUAGUGACGUCAUCAACCCCAGCCACCUACCUCCAACCUCCAUUUACGAUCCAUCAGUCGUGACCUUCUGGUACGAAGUACAGGGACCAAUGACCCAGAUAGGGAGGCAAUCGAUUCAAAAUUCUGAGAGCGUUGGAGCUUUCGAGAAUCUCGAUUUUUAAGCCCUUGAAAAUUUACCAUCACACCAGAA